AGGACGAACGCUGGCGGCGUGCUUAACACAUGCAAGUCGAGCGGUAAGGCCUUUCGGGGUACACGAGCGGCGAACGGGUGAGUAACACGUGGGUGAUCUGCCCUGCACUCUGGGAUAAGCCUGGGAAACUGGGUCUAAUACCGGAUAUGACCUGCUCUCGCAGUGGGGGUGGUGGAAAGAUUUAUCGGUGCAGGAGUGGGCCCGCGGCCUAUCAGUCUUGGUUGGUGGGUAAUGGACCUACCAAGGCGACGACGGGUAGCCGACCUGAGAGGGUGAC
rnacentral:rRNA from 1 species